rnacentral:rRNA from 1 species
UACGUAGGGUGCGAGCGUUGUCCGGAAUUAUUGGGCGUAAAGGGCGCGUAGGCGGCCUGGCAAGUGGAAGGUGAAAUCCCUCGGCUUAACCGAGGAACUGCCCUCCAAACUGCUUGGCUUGAGACCGGGAGAGGUGAGUGGAAUUCCCAGUGUAGCGGUGAAAUGCGUAGAUAUUGGGAGGAACACCAGUGGCGAAGGCGGCUCACUGGACCGGUACUGACGCUGAGGCGCGAAAGCGUGGGGAGCAAACGGG